AAACACGAAUCAGACCUGUAUUAUGGAGCUCAUUGUUUUGAGAAGGUAACUACUAUAUCUGUUUUUGAAUGGUUUUAAGACAGUUGCUCCUCUGGUUAGCUAAAUAAGUCAAUAAAGUCACUAUAGGUAGCUGAACCCUCCAUAUAUAUAAAACAAAGUAUAGCUCGGUCGGUAGAUUCAGUGCUUAUGUCGCACUUCUCUUAAUGAGUCUGUCCGUUCAACUAUCGGAAAGGUGCAUCAGCUUAAUUAGCUCUUGUAGUGUCACUAGUCAGGCUGUUCGGUCAGUUAUUUCUAUUAAAAACAGCUUCAUGUCUUACUACACUUUUAAUUUUUGUAAAUGCUUAUAUUCCUGGUUGAUCAGUUUUGUUAGGACAAAGCUCACAUGGAAACUUGAAUCUUGAUCUCUUACUUGGUUUAUUUGUUUCUUUGACAGGUACUGGAGUACUUGCUUAAAGAUGCAUGUAUGUGAGUCUUUGCUGGAUAAUAUCACUGUGGAAAUUUGAUUAUAUUUUCAAGUUACAAGUCUCACUUUGUAAAUACUAUAUGUAAGUUACAAUUCUCACUUUGUUGGACAUAAUAAAAUAGAAAAUUCUGUUAUUACAUUUUAGACAUCAUAAUGUCAAUAGUGAGAAAUUAUAUGACAUGAAGCUUUAAUCUUUUGUUGCUGUUUACUUUGGAAAAC
rnacentral:lncRNA from 1 species